UCUUAGCUAAACUACUCCACUUGCUAUUCUAUAACGUUAUACUCGUACAUCGUAUGUCCGAUGUAAGAGUAUAGCUUCUUCUUUGUGUUUUUCCUUCUUAAUCACAGAAGCAUGUGAUGUUCAUGUAUUCUAAAUCGGUGGAUCUACGCUAUGUGGCAGUAGUGAAAAGCCUAAGUUAGGUUUUCAGAUCUAUGGGAUUCUAUUUUUCCGAUGCUAGUUUUAUGUGUUAACUGUUGUUUUUUGGUCGUCGAUCUACUACAAUCCAACGUUGAGUGAUUAUGUGGAUCAAGAUUGAAGACAGUAGACCUUCUUUUUCACUUCAGAUAAGUAACUGAACACUCAAUUCGUGUUUUUGGUUUUCUAUUCUUUAUCGCAAUUUGUAUUUUAUUUUUCAGAUUCAUUUUUGUUUUUCCGAUUUUAGCAGUUGAUUUUCUAAACUAAUUGGUUAGUUUUUGAAUUUCAGGGAUGAAGUUUUUCGAACUGUACCCAGAAUACAACGCAAAUACACUUCUCCUAGACACUUAAAGGAUGUGUGUCUUUGAAGUAAUAGGAUAUUGGGUUAAAAAAUGAGAGUUCGCUAUGGUAUCCAGAGCAACCCAGAUUUAACAAAUGUGCAGGUGUUCUCAAUUCUAAGCCUCACCUUAAUCUUCAAGCAACUGUGUUGUUCCUCUUCAACAGCAAUAUGCAUAGAUGGCAUGGUAUCUUCACACAGAUUUUGGUUCUUCGUUUCUAAUUUGCGGGUGGUUCAAACCGGGGAGAUGGUGAACUUGGGGGUGAAUAUUGAUAUGAAGGAGCUUUAUAUAGAGGCUGAAAUUUGUUCUCCAAUUUUGAAUAUUGUCUUGGAACUAUGAAUCUUGCUGGAAACGUUUGAAGACCCAAGACUACAUUAAAGAGAUUGUUUUUUCGAAGCAUUU